CGGACGGGUGAGUAAUGUCUGGGAAACUGCCCGAUGGAGGGGGAUAACUACUGGAAACGGUAGCUAAUACCGCAUAACGUCGCAAGACCAAAGAGGGGGACCUUCGGGCCUCUUGCCAUCGGAUGUGCCCAGAUGGGAUUAGCUAGUAGGUGGGGUAACGGCUCACCUAGGCGACGAUCCCUAGCUGGUCUGAGAGGAUGACAGCCACACUGGAACUGAGACACGGUCCAG
rnacentral:rRNA from 1 species